rnacentral:rRNA from 1 species
UACGUAGGGUGCGAGCGUUAAUCGGAAUUACUGGGCGUAAAGCGUGCGCAGGCGGUUUUGUAAGCCAGAUGUGAAAUCCCCGGGCUUAACCUGGGAAUGGCAUUUGGGACUGCAAGGCUUGAGUGCGGCAGAGGAGACUGGAAUUCCUGGUGUAGCAGUGAAAUGCGUAGAUAUCAGGAGGAACACCGAUGGCGAAGGCGGUCUGCUGGGCAGUUGCUGACACUGAGGCGCGACAGCGUGGGGAGCAAACAGG